rnacentral:rRNA from 1 species
GACGAACGCUGGCGGCGUGCUUAACACAUGCAAGUCGAACGGAAAGGCCUGCUUUCCCUUGUGGAUUGCGGGUACUCGAGUGGCGAACGGGUGAGUAACACGUGAGUGAUCUGCCCCCAACUUGGGUAUAAGCCUGGGAAACUGGGUCUAAUUCCCGAUAGGACUGCAGGGUGGUGCCUGUGGUGGAAAACGAUUUUCUAGUGGUUGGGGAUGAGCUCGCGGCCUAUCAGCUUGUUGGUGGGGUAAUGGCCUACCAAGGCGGCGACGGGUAGCCGGCCUGAGAGGGUGGACGGCCACAUUGGGACUGAGACACGGCCCAGACGCCUACGGGAGGCAGCAGUGGGGAAUAUUGGACAAUGGGCGGAAGCCUGAUGCAGCGACGCCGCGUGGGGGAUGACGGCCUUCGGGUUGUAAACUCCUUUCGACCGCGAGGAAGCCACCUGGUUGGAAGGGUGGUGACGGUAGUGGUAGAAGAAGCACCGGCUAACUACGUG